UACGUAGGGGGCAAGCGUUGUCCGGAAUUAUUGGGCGUAAAGAGCGCGUAGGCGGUCCGAUAAGUCGGCUGUGAAAGUCAGGGGCUCAACCCUUGAAAGCCGGCCGAUACUGUCGGACUAGAGUCCGGAAGAGGCAAGUGGAAUUCCCGGUGUAGCGGUGAAAUGCGCAGAUAUCGGGAGGAACACCGGUGGCGAAGGCGGUGAUCUGGGCCGACACUGACGCUGUAGAGCGAAAGCGUGGGGAGCAAACAGGG
rnacentral:rRNA from 1 species